AUUGAACGCUGGCGGCAGGCCUAACACAUGCAAGUCGAGCGGAUGAAGGGAGCUUGCUCCUGGAUUCAGCGGCGGACGGGUGAGUAAUGCCUAGGAAUCUGCCUGGUAGUGGGGGAUAACGUCCGGAAACGGGCGCUAAUACCGCAUACGUCCCGAGGGAGAAAGUGGGGGAUCUUCGGACCUCACGCUAUCAGAUGACCCUAGGUCGGAUUAGCUAGUUGGUGGGGUAAAGGCCUACCAAGGCGACGAGCCGUAACUGGUCUGAGAGGAUGAUCAGUCACACUGGAACUGAGACACGGUCCAGACUCCUACGGGAGGCAGCAGUGGGGAAUAUUGGACAAUGGGCGAAAGCCUGAUCCAGCCAUGCCGCGUGUGUGAAGAAGGUCUUCGGAUUGUAAAGCACUUUAAGUUGGGAGGAAGGGCAGUAAGUUAAUACCUUGCUGUUUUGACGGUACCAACAGAAUAAGCACCGGCUAACUUCGUG
rnacentral:rRNA from 1 species